GACGAACGCUGGCGGCGUGCUUAACACAUGCAAGUCGAACGAAGUGGCGGACGGGUGAGUAACGCGUAAUCAACCUGCCCUUCAGAGGGGGACAACAGUUGGAAACGACUGCUAAUACCGCAUACGGAUGGAGGGGAUUGCGUCGGAUUAGCUAGCUGGAGGGGUAACGGCCCACCAAGGCGAUGAUCAGUAGCCGGUUUGGGAGGAUGAACGGCCACAUUGGGGCCGGGGCACGGGCCAGACUCCUACGGGAGGCAGCAGUUGGGAAUCUUCCGCAAUGGACGAAAGUCUGACGGAGCAACGCCGCGGGAGUGAUGACGGCCUUCGGGUUGUAAAGCUCUGUUAAUCGGGACGCGGUACCGGAAGAGAAAGCAACGGCUAACUACGUGCCAGCAGCCGCGGUAAUUC
rnacentral:rRNA from 1 species